AUUGAACGCUGGCGGCAUGCCUUACACAUGCAAGUCGAACGGUAACAGGUCUUCGGAUGCUGACGAGUGGCGAACGGGUGAGUAAUACAUCGGAACGUGCCUAGUAGUGGGGGAUAACUACUCGAAAGAGUGGCUAAUACCGCAUGAGAUCUACGGAUGAAAGCAGGGGAUCGCAAGACCUUGUGCUACUAGAGCGGCCGAUGGCAGAUUAGGUAGUUGGUGGGAUAAAAGCUUACCAAGCCGACGAUCUGUAGCUGGUCUGAGAGGACGAUCAGCCACACUGGGACUGAGAAACGGCCCAGACUCCUACGGGAGGCAGCAGGGGGGAAUUUUGGACAAUGGGCGCAAGCCUGAUCCAGCAAUGCCGCGUGCAGGUUGAAGGCCUUCGGGUUGUAAACUGCUUUUGUACGGAACGAAAAGCCCCGGGUUAAUACCCUGGGGUCAUGACGGUACCGUAAGAAUAAGCACCGGCUAACUACGUGCCAGCAGCCGCCGUAA
rnacentral:rRNA from 1 species